CCUACGGGUGGCAGCAGUGAGGAAUAUUGGUCAAUGGCCGGACGGCUGAACCAGCCAAGCCGCGUGAAGGACGCAGGUGCCAAGCAUUGUAAACUUCUUUUGUCAAGGUACAAAAUCCGGCUCGAGAGCCUGACCGAGGGUCCUUGCAGAAACAGCAUCGGCUAACUCCGUGCCAGCAGCCGCGGUAAUACGGGGGAUGCGAGCGUUAUCCGGAUUUAUUGGGUUUAAAGGGUGCGUAGGCGGACUGUUAAGUCAGCGGUAAAAGCCCGGGGCGCAACCCCGGCGAGCCGUUGAAACUGGCUGGCUUGAGAUGUCGAGAGGUAUGCGGAAUGCGCAGUGUAGCGGUGAAAUGCUUAGAUAGUGCGCAGAACUCCGAUGGCGAAGGCAACAUACCGGCGGCGAUCUGACGCUGAGGCACGAAAGCGUGGGUAGCGAACAGGAUUAGAUACCCCAGUAGUC
rnacentral:rRNA from 1 species